GCACCAGCAAAAUCUGGUGCCGGAUUGGCGUCCUGGUAUUUAACGAAGCGCACAACACGCGCCCUGCGUGUUUUUU
rnacentral:sRNA from 2 species